UGUGCAAUAGAGAAAAAAAUGGAGAUUGGCAUAUAAACACAUAUCAGCAUUUAUCAAGGCCGGUGGAGAAGAGAUAUCUUCUGAUCUAUAAAGCCUAGCCCUGUAUUUGUGAAUGUAAAGAUUCCUGUCUUAUCUAAGAGCAAUACUACCAAAAUGCACAGAUGACAGAAAAAUCAUUUGAAAUAUCCUAUUUCUUUAGUUUAUGGUUCAUUACCAAAACACACUGCUUGAUAGCUUGACCACCUUUGUGAGCUUGUUUUUAAAUUCUACUCAUAAAUACUGUCAGUUAUAUUCUUAGAUCAUAUAUUAAAGUUUUUUUUUGUUUUUUUAGAUGGAGUGUCACUUUGUCCCCCAGGCUGGAGUGCAGUGGGGCGAUCUUGGUCCACUGCAACCUCUGCUCCGGGGAUCAAGUGAUUCUCCUGCUUCAGCCUCCCGAGUAGCUGGGAUUACAGGCAACCGCCACUUCUAGCUGCAUAUUUUUUCCACCUAUAAUUUUUUUGAGACCUUAAUUAUUUCGGUCUACAAUCUGCGUCUAGCAGGACUACACAGACAGCAGUUCUAAAACUUCUUUUAGCUACUUGAGAUAUUAAAUAUUUCACAUAUAUUAACAGUUUUAUAUCCCAGCAAUGGAUUCCAAAGUUGUGGCAUUGCUAC
rnacentral:lncRNA from 1 species